GACGAACGCUGGCGGCGUGCUUAACACAUGCAAGUCGAACGGAAAGGCCUGCUUUCCCUUGUGGAUUGCGGGUACUCGAGUGGCGAACGGGUGAGUAACACGUGAGUGAUCUGCCCCCAACUUGGGUAUAAGCCUGGGAAACUGGGUCUAAUUCCCGAUAGGACUGCAGGGUGGUGCCUGUGGUGGAAAACGAUUUUCUAGUGGUUGGGGAUGAGCUCGCGGCCUAUCAGCUUGUUGGUGGGGUAAUGGCCUACCAAGGCGGCGACGGGUAGCCGGCCUCAGAGGGUGGACGGCCACAUUGGGACUGAGAUACGGCCCAGACUCCUACGGGAGGCAGCAGUGGGGAAUAUUGCACAAUGGGCGGAAGCCUGAUGCAGCGACGCCGCGUGGGGGAUGACGGCCUUCGGGUUGUAAACUCCUUUCGACCGCGAGGAAGCCACCUGGUUGGAAGGGUGGUGACGGUAGUGGUAGAAGAAGCACCGGCUAACUACGUG
rnacentral:rRNA from 1 species